rnacentral:rRNA from 1 species
GACGAAGGUGGCGAGCGUUGUUCGGAAUCACUGGGCAUAAAGCGCACGUAGGCGGCGACGUAAGUUGGGUGUGAAAUCCCUCGGCCCAACCGAGGAACUGCGCCCAGUACUGCGUUGCUUGAGGAUCCAAGGGGUGCAUGGAAUUCCCGGUGGAGCGGUGAAAUGCGUUGAUAUCGGGAGGAACUCCGGCGGCGAAAGCGGUGCACUGGUGGAUUACUGACGCUGAGGUGGCGAAAGCCAGGGGAGCCAAAGCGGG